rnacentral:rRNA from 1 species
UACGUAGGUGGCAAGCGUUGUCCGGAAUUACUGGGCGUAAAGGGCGUGUAGGCAGCCUUCUAAGUCAGACGUGAAAUCCCUGGGCUUAACCCAGGAACUGCGUUUGAAACUGAGAGGCUUGAGGAUCGGAGAGGGCAGUGGGAUUCCCAGUGUAGCGGUGAAAUGCGUAGAUAUUGGGAGGAACACCAGUGGCGAAGGCGACUGUCUGGACGACACCUGACGCUGAGGCGCGAAAGCUAGGGGAG